rnacentral:lncRNA from 1 species
CCCCAUCCAUUUAUGUAUCAUUCCUCCUUUCCUCAAAAAGAUUCAUCCUUAAAUCUUGUAUUUUUUAAUAAUAAAGAAUCUUUAUCAUAGGUGGAAUGAGUUAAUUGAGCUCCUCUCAAAGGAUUAACAAAUUUCUGAUAGAAUGAAGCAAGCCCACUAAACAAAUUCAAGUUAAGGUUAGUCAAAACAUAAUCAUUCCUCUAUUUUGGAUAGGUUCUCUCUUUCUUUGUAUUCUCUUUUUCAAUGUGAAUUGAGUUCUUUAAUUUUGCAUUGUAGAAAUUUUUAUUCACCAAAGUUGGACCAUCAAAUUGACUUUUAUCGUUCAAGAUCUUUUUUCUUUAUCUUUUUACAUGAAUCAUCAUCACGUCCCAUAUCUCUCACACAUGAAUUAUGAAUAUCAGAUUUAGUAGAAUACAUUUCCAUAGGAGGAAAAAACAUUUCUCUCUCAUCUAACUUUAUAAAUUUGGGGAAAAAAAUUCUCACAAUCAUCUUUUCCAUUUCACAAAGUUCGCCAUCACAAAUCUCUUUUCCAUUAGAGUAAGAGUCAACAAAAAGCACAAAGUCAUACUUACUUUAUUCUCUAAUUGGAUAUUGAAUUAGACAUCAGAAACCUUAGAGAUCUUUGAAACUAAACCAAUAACAUUUCACAACAGGUGAGAGAUCAUUUUCAUUUGGCCAUCUCCUCUUGAAUUGGCAUAAUAAUCUAUGCUUAACUUUCCCAUCAUAAUAAGCCUUUGGAUCAUUCUUUCCAUGAUUUUAUGGAAUAAAGAACUUUGGUUUAGCCAAAUAAGGUUGUUCAAUGUCAUUAUUAACAAAAGUCUCAUCAUUCGUGCAAUGUGCACGUUUAACAUUAUUUACACAAAGACUAGGC